rnacentral:rRNA from 1 species
CAGCAGCCACGGUAAUACGGAGGGUGCAAGCGUUAAUCGGAAUUACUGGGCGUAAAGCGCACGCAGGCGGUUUGUUAAGUCAGAUGUGAAAUCCCCGAGCUUAACUUGGGAACUGCAUUUGAAACUGGCAAGCUAGAGUCUUGUAGAGGGGGGUAGAAUUCCAGGUGUAGCGGUGAAAUGCGUAGAGAUCUGGAGGAAUACCGGUGGCGAAGGCGGCCCCCUGGACAAAGACUGACGCUCAGGUGCGAAAGCGUGGGGAGCAAACAGGAUUAGAUACCCGCGUAGUCCCUGUCUCUUAUCC